rnacentral:rRNA from 1 species
AGUGAACGCUGGCGGCGUGCUUAACACAUGCAAGUCGAACGAGAACGGAUUAUAGCUUGCUAUAAUUGUCAGCUAAGUGGCGCACGGGUGAGUAAUGUAUAGGUAAUAUGCCUCUUACUAAGGGAUAACAAAUGGAAACGUUUGCUAAUACCUUAUACUCCUUAUUAACAGAAGUUAAUAAGGGAAAGAUUUAUUGGUAAGAGAUUAGCCUGUAUUGUAUCAGUUAGUUGGUGGGGUAAUGGCUUACCAAGACUAUGACACAUAACUGGUUUGAGAGGAUGAUCAGUCACACUGGAACUGAGACACGGUCCAGACUCCUACGGGGGCAGCAGUGGGGAAUAUUGCACAAUGGACGAAAGUCUGAUGCAGCAACGCCGCGUGGAGGAUGACACAUUUCGGUGCGUAAACUCCUUUUAUAUGAGAAGAUAAUGACGGUACCUGCAGAAAAAGCCCCGGCUAACUUCGUGCCAGCAGCCGCCGUAA